UCCCCGUUGGUGUAAUCGGCAACACGCUGGGCUCUGGACCCGGGGUACGAGGUUCGAAUCCUUGGCGGGGAG
rnacentral:tRNA from 1 species